CCAGCAUGUGAGAGCUCCCCGGUGUUACCUCCAGUGAUAAGGACCCAAUCAAGCCUUUAUUUCUCCUAACCUGAAGGCACUUUUGUAAAUGCACAUGGAUUAGGACUAAGGAGCUAAUUAUUUUGAGGGUUGAGAUCACCUUUUCAAGGAGAAAAAAAAAAUCUCCCAGGAUCAGGAGCGGCAGCCUGUUUUAUAAGCCUUUCCUGGAAACGCGGACACGGACUGGGAAGCUACCUCAGCAAAUGGAGCGUGCUGUUUGUCGGGAGAACCAGCAUGUUGUGAGGUGGAAGAUGAAGUCGGUGAUUUGAGACCUUUCUCCUUGCCAUUCAGCUCUGGAAGAACAAAGGAAAAAGUCUCAGCCACCUGGAUUGGUUCCUCCGUGGACACAUGGGCCUUUUGUCAGCUCACCAGUCCAGUCACCUUAGGCAUCUAAGCUGAAAAUUUACAGAAGCUUGGGCUUACUCCUCAGGAUCUAUAUGGUUCAUGGUAAAGAAGAAGUUUCUCACCUCUCAUCUUGAGAUUGUGUGCAAGAAGAAAAUAAAAUGUUGAGGAUAUGCCUUAUCACAUAACUCCCCAUACAGGUUGGAAGACAUACAGAUGCUACUGGAGGACGAAUUCCAUCAAAUCAAGGCUAUAAAUAAUGACAACAGAAACAAUAAGCUUUUCAAUUUAUGGUAGCUCGGUGACCUCCACGCAUCUCAUUUGACUUCCAGGCAAAAAGAAAGAAG